UACGGAGGAUGCAAGCGUUAUCCGGAAUGAUUGGGCGUAAAGCGUCCGCAGGUGGCAAUGUAAGUCUGCUGUCAAAGCGUCUGGCUCAACCAGAUAAAGGCAGUGGAAACUACAUAGCUAGAGUAAGGUAGGGGUAGAGGGAAUUCCUGGUGUAGCGGUGAAAUGCGCAGAUAUCAGGAGGAACACCAAUUGCGAAGGCAGCUCGCUGGGACGUUACUGACGCUGAGACGCGAAAGCGUGGGGAGCAAACAGG
rnacentral:rRNA from 1 species